GGGUCGCAACUCAAUGGGUAGAGUACUCGGCUUA
rnacentral:tRNA from 1 species